UGGGGAAUAUUGCACAAUGGGCGCAAGCCUGAUGCAGCCAUGCCGCGUGUGUGAAGAAGGCCUUCGGGUUGUAAAGCACUUUCAGCGAGGAGGAAGGUGGUGAGCUUAAUACGCUCAUCAAUUGACGUUACUCGCAGAAGAAGCACCGGCUAACUCCGUGCCAGCAGCCGCGGUAAUACGGAGGGUGCAAGCGUUAAUCGGAAUUACUGGGCGUAAAGCGCACGCAGGCGGUUUGUUAAGUCAGAUGUGAAAUCCCCGGGCUCAACCUGGGAACUGCAUUUGAAACUGGCAAGCUAGAGUCUCGUAGAGGGGGGUAGAAUUCCAGGUGUAGCGGUGAAAUGCGUAGAGAUCUGGAGGAAUACCGGUGGCGAAGGCGGCCCCCCUGGACGAAGACUGACGCUCAGGUGCGAAAGCGUGGGGCAGCAAACAGGAUUAGAUACCCUGGUAGUCCACGCUGUAAACGAUGUCGAUUUGGAGGUUGUGCCCCUUGAGGCGUGGCUUCCGGAGCUAACGCGUUAAAUCGACCGCCNGGGGAGUACGGCCGCAAGGUUAAAACUCAAAUGAAUUGC
rnacentral:rRNA from 1 species